CAGCGUUGUGUAGUGGGCCGGAGGUAACGCUCGGACGGACGGCAGUUUCCUGCCAGGACGGUGUUCCAUGGAUCAGAAUCGAAGCCGCCGUCUGAUCCGUGGAUCGGGAAGUUUGCUUUUCCGUCUGGCCGCCCCAGAGUCGAAUUGAAUGGAGGGUCCAGCGUCGUGUCUUGCAAAGCGAGUGGCGUUUUGAAGGCGACGACGGGGAGAUAGAGGUCUGGAGCGGCGGCGGCGAUCCACCAUGGAGUUUUUGAUGCAACCAAUAGGCAGAUCUGCUCUGCUUGAGGAGGUAGGAGAGGGGUUGGUGCCUGCGCCUCUAGUUGCGGAUGACGGUGUGCCGGAGCAGCAGAGGCUGCCGGAACAGUAGAUGGCGGCGGAGAGCGGCGAAGCACAGAUCUUGUGAGCGGCGGAGGCCACAGCGGGCAGAAGGGAUCUGACGUCCGAGGCUCUGAGCUCUCGACGGGGAAGAUGAAUCCCCAGGUACCCCGAUGGAAUAAGAGACUGAGGAUUGGUGCUGCUGCACCAAGCAGGACACCUUGCUCAACUCGAAUCAGUGUGUUUCAGAAGGCUGUUAGGAAUUUGAGAGAGGAUGGGAAAUGCUGCUGGACAAAUACAAGAUGAGAACACAUCCUUACAUGACAGCCUUUUGAGAUUAGGCAGAAAUGCUGCUGGGCAUCUAAAUGAUCAGCUUGCUGCAACUUCAAGCAGAACUGGAUGUGAAAUAUCAGAUGGAGAGAGAAUCCCGUGCAUCGGCAUUGAAUGUGCAGAUGGGUUUGGUUGAAGGGAUUAUUGACAUCUCUGACAGUGAACGCAACGAUGAAGUUAAUUUUGAAGAGUGGUCUGAUCCUGAGCAUGCUAAACUGGUUGAGACAGAUAGAAGGUUGAGAGAGCAA